CAAUAGCGUAUAUUAAAGUUGUUGCAGUUAAAAAGCUCGUAGUUGGAUUUCUGGUUGAAGCGACCGGUCGGGCGUUGAUUCGUCUGCACUGGAGUCGGUUUUGGCCAUCCUCUAGGAAAGUGCGUCUGGUAUUAAGUUAUCGGGCGUAUGAUCCUGGUCUUUUACUGUGAAAAAAUUAGAGUGUUUAAAGCAGGCCUUCGCCUUGAAUACAUUAGCAUGGAAUAAUAAGAUAGGACUUUGGUCUAUUUUGUUGGUUUGCAGACCGAAGUAAUGAUUAAUAGGGAUAGUUGGGGGUAUUUAUAUUCCGAUGUCAGAGGUGAAAUUCUUAGAUUUUCGGAAGAUAAACUUAUGCGAAAGCACUUACCAAGGAUGUUUUCAUUAA
rnacentral:rRNA from 1 species